GAGCUUGUGGCUCAGUGGAUAGAGCAAAUGGCUACGAACCAUUAGGUCGGGGGUUCGACUCCCUCCAAGCUCG
rnacentral:tRNA from 1 species